rnacentral:rRNA from 1 species
UACGUAGGGUGCGAGCGUUGUCCGGAUUUAUUGGGCGUAAAGAGCUCGUAGGCGGCUUGUUGCGUCGUCCGUGAAAACCUGGGGCUCAACUCCAGGCUUGCGGUCGAUACGGGCAGGCUAGAGUUCGGUAGGGGAGACUGGAAUUCCUGGUGUAGCGGUGAAAUGCGCAGAUAUCAGGAGGAACACCGGUGGCGAAGGCGACUACCUGGCCUGUUCUUGACGCUGAGGCGCGAAAGCUAGGGGAGCAAACGGG